rnacentral:rRNA from 1 species
AAACGACUCUCGGCAACGGAUAUCUCGGCUCACGCAUCGAUGAAGAACGUAGCAAAAUGCGAUACUUGGUGUGAAUUGCAGAAUCCCGUGAACCAUCGAGUGUUUGAACGCAAGUUGCGCCUGAAGCCAUCCGGUUGAGGGCACGCCUGCCUGGGCGUCACGC